CCCAUUUUUCUACUGAGCUGUUUUUUGAAAAAUUAAUUGAUAAGAGCUCUUUACGUAAGAAGGAAAUUAGUUUAUUCCUGGAGAUAAGUAACUAUAUGAAAUAGAUCUAAGAAAGUUUCAGUUAGUUCUCUUGGGUUUUCUCUAUAUAAAACCACACUACCAGCAGGUAAAAUUAUGUUAAAUUGCUUCCAAGGCUCUCCUGCCCAAAAUGCCAACCUGAAACUAAUCUUACAGAAACAUCACAGAAACCCAAAUUAGGACACCAGAAAAUGACUGCCUUGGGCCUUUAAAAAACGCCAACGUCAUAAAAGGCAAAGACAUACUGAGAAAUGUUCCAGAUUAAAAGAGCUAGAAGACCUGACAAAUACAAUGUGUGAGCCAGGAUAUUCUUUUGUUAUAAAGGACAUUAUGAGAACAGUUGGCAAAGUCUGAUUAAAGUCUGUAGAUUAGAUAAUGGUGUUUUAUCAAUGUCCACUUCCUGAUGUUCAUCAUUGUACUGUGAUUAUGUGGGAGAAUGUCCUUGUUUUUAGGAAAUGCAUACUCAACUGUUAUGGGUAAUGAGACAUCGUUUCUGUGUGUUUUUCAGAAGAGGUUCAGAGAGAGGAAGAAGAAUAAAGCAAAGGUGGUAACUAAUCUUUGUGGAAUCUGGAUAAAGAAUAUCCAGGAAUUCUUUGUACUAAUCCUCCAGUUUUUCUGUAAGUCUGAAGAUCAUGCGUUCUUUCCCAGAAAGAACAGAGCGCUUCUGCACCACCCUGGGCACCAAGGACCCAAACCCUCUAGCACCUCCCGGGCUCCCCCCCCCCACCGGGGCACCAAGGAACCAGGAUCCCUUGCACAACCUCUGAGCACCACACUAGCAAGCUUUCUUCUACCCCAGGCCGCCCCCUUCUUACCCGCAGGGACCUCAGGCCAGCAGAGCAACGAAGGCCAGGAGCAGGUGCACAGAGACCACCAAGGGGCUGAGCGCUUUCAAGGAGCUGGCAGA